AACGCGAAGAACCUUACCAGGUCUUGACAUCCCUCUGACCGUCCUAGAGAUAGGGCUUUCCUUCGGGACAGAGGAGACAGGUGGUGCAUGGUUGUCGUCAGCUCGUGUCGUGAGAUGUUGGGUUAAGUCCCGCAACGAGCGCAACCCUUGAACUUAGUUGCCAGCACGUUAAGGUGGGCACUCUAGGUUGACUGCCGGUGACAAACCGGAGGAAGGCGGGGAUGACGUCAAAUCAUCAUGCCCCUUAUGACCUGGGCUACACACGUACUACAAUGGCCGGUACAACGGGCUGCGAAACCGCGAGGUGGAGCCAAUCCCAACAAAGCCGGUCUCAGUUCGGAUUGCAGGCUGCAACUCGCCUGCAUGAAGUCGGAAUUGCUAGUAAUCGCGGAUCAGCAUGCCGCGGUGAAUACGUUCCCGGGCCUUGUA
rnacentral:rRNA from 1 species